rnacentral:lncRNA from 1 species
ACAAAUUCAUUGUUAGCAAUUUGGCUGAAAAAUAAAAACAGGUUUAUAAUGUCGUCAUAUACUGUAAGUCUAUGGUACAACCAUAUUUAUAAUGUUAUGGAGUUGGGGCUAGGUUUUCGGGAUUCCCUCUAAUUUUGCAAUUCUGCGGGUGGCGUUGUGGGUAAAACCUCAGUGCCUAGGACUUGCCGAUCGCAUGGUCGGCGGUUCAAAUCGCCGCGGCGGGGUGCGCUCCCGUCGUUCGGUCCCAGCACCUGUCAACCUAGCAGUUCGAAAGCACCCCCGGGUGCAAGUAGAUAAAUAGGGACCGCUUACCAGCGGGAAGGUAAACGGUGUUUCCGUGUGCUGCGCUGGAUCGCCAGAUGCAGCUUGUCACGCUGGCCACGUGACCCGGAAGUGUCUGCGGACAGCGCUGGCUCCCGGCCUAUAGAGUGAGAUGAGCACACAACCCUAGAGUCUGUGAAGACUGGACGUACGGGCAGGGGUAGCUUUACCUUUACCUUUACCUUUUAUCUGGAUCAUGAAGGUCACAGCCCAGGCCUAGAGAACAUUACUGUACAACCAUUGUUGCAUCUGGUGAGAGUGAGUUCCACAGGAAUACAGAAAGCUGUCUCAUGUCAAGUUCAGUCAGGUGUGCAAGCUGAGUUGCAAGAAAGAAGGUACAGUAAGGUUAAGGUGUGAGCGGAAACUAAAUGGCUCUGUUUGAAACCCAUAGGAGCCAACCAGAGUGCAAUUUAACAAUUUCUCUUGCAGUGUAUUAGGACUUGGACUUUGUGUGUGGUCCAUUGUUCAGUUUAUAAUGGAUGCACUGUUGGCUUGCAGAGUUACUGAACUACCCAGGUUUUUUUGCUCCUUUUCUUUGAGGGGGGAUAAAGUGCUUUGAGGUACUCUAUGAAUGAACGUUGUACUGAGAAACCCUAAUCUAUUCCAUAUUGCACAAUGAAAAGCAACUCCACUGAGCCCUGAUGAAUUGUAGUACUUUCCCCUCUUUUGCUCUGAGUACAUGGCAAAUCUGAAGGGACUCUGCAAGGUGUGUCUGGAACCCUUUUCUUUCGUUGAAGCCCUUCUUCGUGUCCCCCCACCAUGAGAGUCCAGGAGGGCAGCAACACAAGAACGGGCUCUCUGUUUUUGGAAUGCUUUCCCUAGGGAGG